CCCAGGCAACCAAGUGACGUCAACAACGUCGAGGAAACGUCAGUAUUUGGUGGAAUAUAUACACGUAGUUGAACAUUACGUCAUAUCGACGUCUUUUGUAGGUGAUUUUAAAUACGUAAGAUUAAUGACGUUAAAAUACGUUUAAAAGACGUUUUCAUUUCAGCCAGCCUAAGUCUGACGUCACGAAAUUGGGAGGAGCUUGGAGCUUAAAAGUUACAAAACUAGGGUUAUGUUUGUAUCAUCGUUGUCGUUUGUCGUUUCAUUUAAUUGUUUGUUUGUCCUAGUAUUUUGCCUUUUUUGGAUUCAUUUGGAUUUUGUUGGCUGUUUUGUGUGUAUUUUUUAAAACUUCUGUUUGUCAUUUGUAAAUUUUAUAAAUUUACCACAAUGCAAAGUGAUUAUUUAAGGAAAUUAUUAAUGGAAACUCCGCAGAUGUUUUAGAAAGAUAUUCAUUGAAGCUGAAAAUAAUUGGAGAUUUAGAUCCAUAUACAAUUCA